GUAAGCUUUCUUUAUCUCUCUCCCUCCCUCCCUUCCUCUCUCCAUCUCAUGCUAAUAGUAAUCUGGACAGGAGGAGAUGCUUUCUUCAUGCGGUGAAGAAAGAAUCGAAUGCUAACAACAAUCUGCAGAAGCUUAACUAGUAACUCCAAUCCCUCUCUCAGAAUCCUUGGUAAGAAUGCCCAUCCCUACCUCCUACCCUCUCCUUCUUACUUUGGUACUCUGUGUGUGUGUGUGUGUUUCAUUUCUCUUUCACCCAUGGAGGAUUUGAGGGUUUGUGGAUCUUAGAAAUUGGGGAGUUGUGGAUUUUGGAAAUUGGGGAUUUGGGGAUUUUAGGGAUUUGAGGAUAUUGGGGCUUUCAUAUUGAAGGAAUUUGGUGCUAUAAUAUUUACAGAUUAUUCCUUAUUCACAAAUUGUGGAGGCAAUGAUUGUUGGGAAGAAAGAAUAUGAAGGUGACUCAUCAGAAAUGAGAUCGUAAGAUAUUCUCUUCUACUGAUAGAUGGGCUUAUCGUAGCAUAGGGGAAGAGCUCUACUAUGUUGUUAUCUGGUCUUCAGGGUCUUGGGAUCAGUCUUGUUAGCAUCAUAGCAAGAAAACCUCUUCUUUGAAUCCACCAAAUUUGAGGUCAAGUAUGGUUACCUUAUUUGGCAAUUCUGCUUCUAUCCUUGUGCUUCUCUGUUCGAAUAUAAUUCUUUAGAGACGAUUCUGGGCAUUGCACACGGGCUCAAUCUUCUUUUUGGACUGGACCUGUUCAUAUGUGUCUUUUUGUCUCCAAUUGAUGUUGUGCUAUUUCCACUAUUUAUCACCCUCUUGGAGCUCCAUUCACAGGUGAUCUCUCUCCCCCCGUUUUUUCUUUUUCCUUGUUCUUGGUGCAAGAGGAUUGCAUCAUACAAGCCCUUUAUGGUAAGGUUGUCUACAUGUAUGGACGUCAUAAUGAAUGAAGGAUUGUAAUUGAUUCAUUAUUGAAUGAAGGAUUAUACAUGAAUGAAUGAAUGAAUGAUUAUGCAGGUGGUAAUUGA